GACGAACGCUGGCGGCGUGCUUAACACAUGCAAGUCGAACGAAGAGGCCCAGCUUUUUGGGGGGACUAGUGUCGAAAGCGUGUGUGUCACGCGAGUGUCCCCUGCCCUUGACUGUGAUAUGACUUCAGAAAACGGGGUCAUAUACCGUAUGACUUCUCCUGCUACGUGGGGGGGGGGGGAGAGUUUCUGCGGUUGGGGAUGGUCUCGCGGCUUAUCAGCUUGUUGGUGGGGUAGUGGCUUACCAAGGCCUCGACGGGUAGCCGGCCUGAGAGGGUGACCGGCCACACUGGGACUGAGACACGGCCCAGACUCCUACGGGAGGCAGCAGUGGGGAAUAUUGCACAAUGGGCGGAAGCCUGAUGCAGCGACGCCGCGUGCGGGAUGACGGCCUUCGGGUUGUAAACCGCUUUCGGUAGGGAAGAAGCGUGAGUGACGGUAACGGGUAAAGAAGCACCGGCUAACUACGUG
rnacentral:rRNA from 1 species